CGUGUCAAUCAAACCAAGUGUUCCUUGUGCUGCUUGCCAUUGAGAAAGCACGUUUAGCGUAAUUAUGGUCGACGUUAAGCUCCUAAAAAUACGACCACUAUGUUGGAAUUAAAUCUUAGCUAAAUCACGGUGAUUCUAAGCUGCGAAGUUGACGUUUACAGAGCCUUUCAAGGCAGCUUUAGGCCGGAAAAUACUCUAGGAAUGCUAAGAGGAGGAUCCACCAAUCAGACUAUGACAAGACGACGCUUUGAAUAUCUGUGACGACACCAACUGAAAUUGAGAGGCAACCCUUUUCUCGUUAGCCUGCUAUUGGCUACAGCCCAGCUUGGACCCGCCUUCCACAAGUCUUCCGAUUGGCCGCGCGACGUGUCAAUCAAAACAGGAUGUGGGAGGAAACUGGAGUACCUGGAGAAAACCCACGCAGGGACAGGGAGAACAUGCAAACUCCACACAGGAGAGGCCAGAUUUGAACCCCAGUCGUCAGAACCACCAUGCUGCCCAAACUGGAACACAAGGAUAUUAAAUGUGGAUUGAUAAUGAAAAAUAAAAACUGACGUAUAACACCAUGUU